AGAGCGAACGCUGGCGGCAGGCCUAACACAUGCAAGUCGAACGGACUCUUCGGAGUUAGUGGCGGACGGGUGAGUAACACGUGGGAACGUGCCUUUUGGUUCGGAAUAAGCUCGGGAAACUGGGUCUAAUACCGAAUGUGCCCUUCGGGGGAAAGAUUUAUCGCCAUUAGAGCGGCCCGCGUCUGAUUAGCUAGUUGGUGAGGUAAAGGCUCACCAAGGCUACGAUCAGUAGCUGGUCUGAGAGGAUGACCAGCCACAUUGGGACUGAGACACGGCCCAGACUCCUACGGGAGGCAGCAGUAGGGAAUAUUGGACAAUGGGCGAAAGCCUGAUCCAGCAAUGCCGCGUGAGUGAUGAAGGCCUUAGGGUGUAAGCUCUUUACCCGAGAUGAUAAUGACAGUAUCGGGAGAAGUAACGCCCCGGACUAACUCCGCGCCAGCAGCCGC
rnacentral:rRNA from 1 species